rnacentral:rRNA from 1 species
GACGAACGCUGGCGGCGUGCCUAAUAAAUGCAAGUAGAACGCUGAAGGAGGAGUUUGCUUCUCUGGAUGAGUUGCGAACGGGUGAGUAACGCGUAGGUAACCUGCCUGGUAGCGGGGGAUAACUAUUGGAAACGAUAGCUAAUACCGCAUAAUAGUAGAUGUUGCAUGACAUUUGCUUAAAAGGUGCAAUUGCAUCACUACCAGAUGGACCUGCGUUGUAUUAGCUAGUUGGUGGGGUAACGGCUCACCAAGGCGACGAUACAUAGCCGACCUGAGAGGGUGAUCGGCCACACUUGGACUGAGACACGGCCCAGACUCCUACGGGAGGCAGCAGUAGGGAAACUUCGGCAAUGGACGGAAGUCUGACCGAGCAACGCCGCGUGAGGGAAGAAGGUUUUCGGAUCGUAAAGGUCUGUUGUAAGAGAAGAACGAGUGUGAGAGUGGAAAGUUCACACUGUGACGGUAUCUUAACAGAAAGGGACGGCUAACUACGUG